UACGUAGGGGGCAAGCGUUGUCCGGAAUCAUUGGGCGUAAAGAGCGUGUAGGCGGCCCGAUAAGUCCGCUGUGAAAGUCCAGGGCUCAACCCUGGAAUGCCAGUGGAAACUGUCGGGCUGGAGUCCGGAAGAGGCGAGUGGAAUUCCUGGUGUAGCGGUGAAAUGCGCAGAUAUCAGGAGGGACACCAAUGGCGAAGGCAGCUCGCUGGGACGGUACUGACGCUGAGACGCGAAAGCGUGGGGAGCAAACAGG
rnacentral:rRNA from 1 species